GGGUCAGUGAGACACAUUACCUCUUCUGUGGACAUGGUGUCAGUGAGUGGAGGAGGGGUGGAUUCCUGGAGAGAGGAAGAGAUAGAGAAAGAGAGAGAGAGAAAGCGAUAGAAAGAAAGAGAGAGAAAGAAAAGAGGGAGUGUGAGAGAGAGGGGGUGGUGGUUCAGAGAUUUGAGUUAUUUUCUCCCUCCAGGUUUACAAAGGGUCAGAUCAGAUGCCCCCUUGUGGUGCUAUUUCUCCAUCACACAGAAUGACUAACUUGCUCAUUACAUAUCAUAUCAUACAUUAUAGCAAGGUCAUGCCAUUGACGUGAGCGUGUGUCCCCUACUGGACAGAAUGGGAUAUUUCUCCUCUUUGAGCUACCAGACGAAUUUAGCUACCAGAGGAAAGCUUGAUGUUGAUGUUGGCCUUAACCUCAGAUCCAGGAUCAGGUUGCCCUAGCCCCAAUCCAAACCUCAACCAUUAUGGGAAUGAAAAACAUCUUCUAAUAUAUCUGACCCCCUAUCAGUGGUUACAGCCAACCUCUAUCUUGAUAUGGGAUGAUACCUGAGCUUCAGCCUGGCUGGUUGAGGAAGAGGAGAAGAGGCACUGAAAUAUUCCCCUCACAGACUGGAUGGAACGCUUCCCUGAAAGACAGGACAGGACAGACAUUUAGAAGACCUGAGCCCUAGGAUCAUACGUCAGGACUACCGGGCAUGAUGACUCCUUGCUGUCCCCAGUCCGCCUGGCCUUGCUGCUAUUCCAGUUUCAACUGUUCUGCCUGCGGUUACGGAACCCCUACCUGUCCCAGACCUGCUGUUUUCAACUCUUAAUGAUCGGCUAUGAAAAGCCAACUGACAUUUAUUCCUGAUUAUUAUCUGACCAUGCUUGUCAUUUAUGAACAUUUUGAAAAUCUUGGCUCUCUCUAAUUUUCUCCUUCUCUCUUUCUUUCUCUCUCUCUCGGAGGACCUGAGCCCUAGGACCAUACGUCAGGACUACCGGGCAUGAUAACUCCUUGCUGUCCCCAGUCCACCUGGCCUUGCUGCUAUUCCAGUUUCAACUGUUCUGCCUGCGGUUAUGGAACCGCCACCUGUCCCAGACCUGCUGUUUUCAACUCUUAAUGAUCGGCUAUGAAAAGCCAACUGAAAAUUAUUCAUGAUUAUUAUUUGACCAUGCUUGUCACUUAUGAACAUUUUGAACAUCUUGGCAUAGUUCUGUUAUAAUCUCCACCCGGCACAGCCAGAAGAGGACUGGCCACCCCUCAUAGCCUGGUUCCUCUCUAGGUUUCUUCCUAGGUGUUGGCCUUUCUAGG